rnacentral:rRNA from 1 species
GAGGUUAAGCGACUAAGCGUACACGGUGGAUGCCCUGGCAGUCAGAGGCGAUGAAGGACGUGCUAAUCUGCGAUAAGCGUCGGUGAGGUGAUAUGAACCGUUAUAACCGGCGAUUUCCGAAUGGGGAAACCCAGUGUGUUUCGACACACUAUCAUUAACUGAAUCCAUAGGUUAAUGAGGCGAACCGGGGGAACUGAAACAUCUAAGUACCCCGAGGAAAAGAAAUCAACCGAGAUUCCCCCAGUAGCGGCGAGCGAACGGGGAGGAGCCCAGAGCCUGAAUCAGUGUGUGUGUUAGUGGAAGCGUCUGGAAAGGCGUGCGAUACAGGGUGACAGCCCCGUACACAAAAAUGCACAUAUUGUGAGCUCGAUGAGUAGGGCGGGACACGUGGUAUCCUGUCUGAAUAUGGGGGGACCAUCCUCCAAGGCUAAAUACUCCUGACUGACCGAUAGUGAACCAGUACCGUGAGGGAAAGGCGAAAAGAACCCCGGCGAGGGGAGUGAAAAAGAACCUGAAACCGUGUACGUACAAGCAGUGGGAGCCUCUUAAUGGGGUGACUGCGUACCUUUUGUAUAAUGGGUCAGCGACUUAUAUUCUGUAGCAAGGUUAACCGAAUAGGGGAGCCGAAGGGAAACCGAGUCUUAACUGGGCGUUAAGUUGCAGGGUAUAGACCCGAAACCCGGUGAUCUAGCCAUGGGCAGGUUGAAGGUUGGGUAACACUAACUGGAGGACCGAACCGACUAAUGUUGAAAAAUUAGCGGAUGACUUGUGGCUGGGGGUGAAAGGCCAAUCAAACCGGGAGAUAGCUGGUUCUCCCCGAAAGCUAUUUAGGUAGCGCCUCGUGAAUUCAUCUCCGGGGGUAGAGCACUGUUUCGGCAAGGGGGUCAUCCCGACUUACCAACCCGAUGCAAACUGCGAAUACCGGAGAAUGUUAUCACGGGAGACACACGGCGGGUGCUAACGUCCGUCGUGAAGAGGGAAACAACCCAGACCGCCAGCUAAGGUCCCAAAGUCAUGGUUAAGUGGGAAACGAUGUGGGAAGGCCCAGACAGCCAGGAUGUUGGCUUAGAAGCAGCCAUCAUUUAAAGAAAGCGUAAUAGCUCACUGGUCGAGUCGGCCUGCGCGGAAGAUGUAACGGGGCUAAACCAUGCACCGAAGCUGCGGCAGCGACACUAUGUGUUGUUGGGUAGGGGAGCGUUCUGUAAGCCUGUGAAGGUGGCCUGUGAGGGUUGCUGGAGGUAUCAGAAGUGCGAAUGCUGACAUAAGUAACGAUAAAGCGGGUGAAAAGCCCGCUCGCCGGAAGACCAAGGGUUCCUGUCCAACGUUAAUCGGGGCAGGGUGAGUCGACCCCUAAGGCGAGGCCGAAAGGCGUAGUCGAUGGGAAACAGGUUAAUAUUCCUGUACUUGGUGUUACUGCGAAGGGGGGACGGAGAAGGCUAUGUUGGCCGGGCGACGGUUGUCCCGGUUUAAGCGUGUAGGCUGGUUUUCCAGGCAAAUCCGGAAAACCAAGGCUGAGGCGUGAUGA